AUAAGCCUCUAGGGUUUGUCAGAUGACUUAUUCCAUAGCAAUUUUGGCAUUCUGUCCACCUCCAUUAAUAAUUACAACUUAACUUAAUCACAAUCACUCUUGGAGGUGGCCAGUAAGCCAAACGGGCUCUGCGAAUCUGUCUCCGACAAACCUUCUUAAGGGCUCUCCAUCAACUUCAUCUCUUCCAUUUCUUCUUCUAUAUCAUCCAUCAUCCAGGUAAUUUCUACUAAACCGAAACACCAUGCUCAAGAAUUUGCUUAUUUGUUUGAUACUAUGAAAUCAUGGAUUUGCCUAGAAGGUUGGUACGAUGAGGGAGCAGAAGUGGAUCAUAGUGUGGAUCAAGGCUAGAUAUGUGGGUGACCCACACUUGUGGGGGAGAUUGUUGGGAAGUGAAAAGUGUCAAAUACCCUCAUCGACUAGGAAUAGAGGAAAUGUUGGAUUUAUAAGAGAGGUGACUAAUACCCCACUUCCUUAAGGUUUUGGGUUGAUAUGUGGCGUCAAGGUCUCUUGUAACCAUGCACGUUUGGCCCAUUGGCACUUCUGGCACUCCCAAGAAUUCUCCAACAAGUGGUAUAUGAGCCUGGUUUGGUGGAGUAUAAAUUUUAGUAUGAUUUGUGGUUGCAGUUUUGUAUGAUCUUUCACAUCAGAAAAGAAAUUUUAUACUCUAUGUUAGUUGGAAAAAAUUUGUUUGUUGUAGGAAAGAUAUUGUUGCAAUGUCAAAUUUCUCAAGUGCAGUGAAGAUUGACUUAGAGAAAUUCGAUGAAAGACUAAAUUUUUCCUUAUGAAAAAUUCAAGUCAAAUAUGUUUUGAUACAAUUAUGAACACACAAGAAGUUGAAAGAAAACAUUUCUAACAUGGAUAACGAGAUGUGGGAGAAACUAGAUUUGAGAGCUUCGAGUACAAUCCAUAUGUCUUUGACUAAGAAUAUUUGUGAAUGUUCUUGGUACAUCGUCAGCCAAAGAUAUUUGGGAGAAACUUGAAGGGCUAUAUCAAGGAAAAGGUAUAUCAAAUCAGUUGUUGUUGAAGGAGCAGUUUCAUAGCUUUCGUACAGAUGAACAUACAAAAGUGAUCAUCUAAGUGUUAUUAAUGAUAUUGUUUAUAGAUUAGAAACUAUCAGAGUCAAGAUUGAAGAUGAAGAUAAAGCUUUGAGACUCAUAUGGCCUCUUCCAUCUUCCUAUGAGCACAUUAAACCUAUUUUGAUAUACGGGAAGGAAACUUUGAGUUUUGCAGAAGUUGUUAAUAAAAUUAUUUCUGAAAAAAGAAGAUUUAAGGGUUAUGAUAAUACUUCAUCAAACUCGGUGUUGGUUGCUAGAGGAAGGUCGCAUGUGAAGAAAAACAAUAAAACGGGUGUGAGAUGUUGGAAAUGUGGAAAGAUUGGACAUAUAAAGUAUAAGUGUCCUAAUGGGACAGCAUCAGAGAAGAGCUCUAAGUCAAAUGCUAGCAAUGUAUCUCUCGCUGUGAGAGAGGAUGAUCUUCUUUGAGAAUUGAUAAGUGUGUCCUCAUGAAAUUUCCGCUGUCAUGGAAAAGAACGAGUUAUUGCUAACAGAUUAACACAUGGGCAUUAAUGCAAAGUAUGUUGUGGAAUUAUGUAGAUGGUUGAAGAGCUUUCUACCAACAUAGAAGUUGCACCAUAAAGUUUCAACCUGGUUUUCGGUAUGUGAAAAAUUCUUGAAGUGAUUUAGCUUUAAGUGAAGUAUACUCUUAUUUAGGUGGAGUAUGAUAGUUUUUAAAACUAUGAUUUGAGGUGAAGACAAUGUAAAAAUUCUUGGAGUAUUGUAGUUUAAAGUGACUAUACUCUUUAUGAUGGAGUAUGAUUGUCGGUGAAGACAAUGAAAAAUAUAUUGUUUUUAAUCAAGAUGGAGUUUGUUGGGGUUGGUUAAAAAUAUACAUGUUGAAGAA